rnacentral:rRNA from 1 species
UUUAACUGAAGAGUUUGAUCAUGGCUCAGAUUGAACGCUGGCGGCAGGCUUAACACAUGCAAGUCGAGCGGGGGAAGGUAGCUUGCUACUGG